rfam:Triticum urartu cultivar G1812 contig1212047, whole genome shotgun sequence.
CUAAUAUUCACUCCAUCCGGAAAUACUUGUCGAAGAAAUGGAUAGAAAUGGACGUAUCUAGAACUAAAAUACGUUUAGAUACAUCCAUUUCUCCAACAAGUAUUUCUGGUCGGAGUAUUUAACAU